rnacentral:misc_RNA from 1 species
AAGUCGUAACAAGGUUUCCGUAGGUGAACCUGCGGAAGGAUCAUUAAUAAAUGCUUCAUUGCAUCCACCUUUUGUGCACUGUAAAAUUUUUUCACUUAAGCUUUGUCUGAUUGAUAUUUGUACCGAAAGGAACAGGAAUUUUAAUCUAAUACAACUUUUAACAAUGGAUCUCUUGGCUCUC